rnacentral:rRNA from 1 species
UACGAACCGAGCGAACGUUGUUCGGAAUAACUGGGCUUAAAGGGCGCGUAGGCGGGCCGCCAAGUUCGAGGUGAAAUCCUCCGGCUCAACCGGAGAACUGCCUCGAAUACUGGAGGCCUCGAGGCGGGUAGGGGCAUGCGGAACUGUGGGUGGAGCGGUGAAAUGCGUUGAUAUCCACAGGAACUCCGGUGGCGAAGGCGGCAUGCUGGACCCGAUCUGACGCUGAGGCGCGAAAGCCAGGGGAGCAAACGGG